CACGCCGCGUGCGGGAGGACGGUUUGUGGACUGUAAACCGCUUUUAAUAGGGAAGAAGAACUGACGGUACCUAUUGAAUCAGCAUCGGCUAACUCCGUGCCAGCAGCCGCGGUAAUACGGAGGAUGCGAGCGUUAUCCGGAAUUAUUGGGCGUAAAGGGUCCGCAGGUGGCGUAUCAAGUCAGUUGUUAAAGGCCGGGGCUUAACCCUGGAUGAGCAGUUGAAACUGGUAGGCUAGAGUACGGUAGGGGUAGAGGGAAUUCCUAGUGUAGCGGUGAAAUGCGUAGAUAUUAGGAAGAACACCAGUGGCGAAGGCGCUCUACUGGGCCUGUACUGACACUGAGGGACGAAAGCUAGGGGAGCGAAAGGGAUUAGAUACCCCUGUAGUCCUAGCUGUAAACUAUGGAUACUAGGUGUUGCACGUAUCGACCCGUGCAGUAUCGUAGCCAACGCGUUAAGUAUCCCGCCUGGGGAGUACGCACGCAAGUGUGAAACUCAAAGGAAUUGACGGGGGCCCGCACAAGCGGUGGAGUAUGUGGUUUAAUUCGAUGCAACGCGAAGAACCUUACCAGGGAUUGACAUCCUUCGAAUUCCGAUGAAAGUUGGAAGUGCCUUCGGGAGCGAAGAGACAGGUGGUGCAUGGCUGUCGUCAGCUCGUGUCGUGAGAUGUUGGGUUAAGUCCCGCAACGAGCGCAACCCACGUUUUUAGUUGCCAUCAUUAAGUUGGGCACUCUAGAGAGACUGCC
rnacentral:rRNA from 1 species